rnacentral:rRNA from 1 species
GGAUCUAUUUUAUGCGAGUGUUGGGUGUUAAACCCAUGCGCGGAAUGAAAGUGAACGGAGGUGGGAACCCUUAAGGGCGCACCAUCGACCGAUCCGGAAGUUUACGGAUGGAUUUGAGUAAGAGCAUAACUAUUGGGACCCGAAAGAUGGUGAACUAUGCCUGAAUAGGGUGAAGCCAGGGGAAACCCUGGUGGAGGCUCGCAGCGGUUCUGACGUGCAAAUCGAUCGUCAAAUUUGGGUAUAGGGGCGAAAGACUAAUCGAACCAUCUAGUAGCUGGUUCCUGNCGAACUUUCCCUCAGGAUAGCAGUAACGNUUUCAGUUUUAUGAGGUAAAGCGAAUGAUUAGAGGCCUUAGGGAUGAAACAUCCUUAACCUAUUCUCAAACUUUAAAUAUGUAAGAAGUCCUUGUUACUUAGUUGAACGUGGACAUUUGAAUGUACCGUUACUAGUGGGCCAUUUUUGGUAAGCAGAACUGGCGAUGCGGGAUGAACCGAACGCGAGGUUAAGGUGCCGGAAUGCACGCUCAUCAGACACCACAAAAGGUGUUAAUUCAUCCAGACAGCAGGACGGUGGCCAUGGAAGUCGGAAUCCGUUAAGGAGUGNGUAACAACUCACCUGCCGAAUGAAUUAGCCCUGAAAAUGGAUGGCGCUCAAGCGUGCUACCCAUACCUCGCCGCCAGGGUAGAAACGAUGCCCUGGCGAGUAGGCAGGCGUGGAGGUCCGUGACGAAGCCUUGGGAGUGAUCCCGGGUAGAACGGCCUCUAGUGCAGAUUCUUGGUGGU